CCCGUUGGUGAACCAGCGGAGGGAUCAUUACCGAGUUUACAACUCCCAAACCCAAUGUGAACGUUACCAAACUGUUGCCUCGGCGGGAUCUCUGCCCCGGGUGCGUCGCAGCCCCGGACCAAGGCGCCCGCCGGAGGACCAACCAAAACUCUUAUUGUAUACCCCCUCGCGGGUUUUUUUUAUAAUCUGAGCCUUCUCGGCGCCUCUCGUAGGCGUUUCGAAAAUGAAUCAAAACUUUCAACAACGGAUCUCUUGGUUCUGGCAUCGAUGAAGAACGCAGCGAAAUGCGAUAAGUAAUGUGAAUUGCAGAAUUCAGUGAAUCAUCGAAUCUUUGAACGCACAUUGCGCCCGCCAGUAUUCUGGCGGGCAUGCCUGUCCGAGCGUCAUUUCAACCCUCGAACCCCUCCGGGGGGUCGGCGUUGGGGAUCGGCCCUCCCUUAGCGGGUGGCCGUCUCCGAAAUACAGUGGCGGUCUCGCCGCAGCCUCUCCUGCGCAGUAGUUUGCACACUCGCAUUCGGGAGCGCGGCGCGUCCACAGCCGUUAAACACCCAACUUCUGAAAUG
rnacentral:misc_RNA from 1 species